CUAGUGCUACCAUAAUUCGCCUAAAGCAGGUGCAGCAACUUUCACCCCGCGAGGCAGCUUGACGAGAGGUAGAGGAGACCACGUGGACCAAACUUUAGGGGAGGAAAAAUGGGGAUAGGGAGAAGAAGCCGGGUAACGGAUCUGAAAGACGGGGUCAUUCCGGACUCCUGACGCCGCCAGUCCCGCCAUGAGACGUGAGCGCCAUUGGCGUCCGUGGCCUCUGUUUCCGUGGCAACCCAGUAACCAUUAAUUUUCAAUUAAAGGAGACAAAAAGCUCGAUGACAGCUCCAGGUCUGCUGAAGAUGUCAAGAAUCUGUAUUAAUAUACAGCAAGAGAGCAUAAUUGUGUGUCCAUCUUCCAGAGCAGCGAAAAAUGGAGGGAUAAUUACCAUCUCGAAAGCCACUCUGUAAUUUAGUUCUUACUGUCACCACAGCCCUACACAUUAGCAUAAAUUAAAAGCAGAGUUUAUUGUUAUCAAAGUGCA